CGAAGUACGGCUGAAUGGUCAUGCCACCUACCCAGAGAGAGAGAAAGAGAGAGAUAUAGAGAAAUAGGAAGAAAAGGAAUUCAGAAAUCAUAAGACUGUGGCAUCCCAAAGUGUUGACUCCCAGGAAGUUCUUAUUGAAACAUACGUCGACCACACUGCUGUCCUCAUCAGGAACCAUUCACUUGGCAGUUGUAUGGGGACGCGGCGAAAACCCUUUUGAAUACGAUCCGCGAAGCGCAAAGCAAGAUCUUGAGGACAAUAUGCAAUGCAAUGGAUAUCGCAAGAGAUCUAGGGACCAAGUGUUAUUUUAAUAGACUAGCCUUACACCCAAAUGCGCUUGCUCAACGUCUCUUGGCAAAAGGAGUCUAAAAAGACUGAACCUGCAGGAUCUGCCUACUAAGGUUAUUUUUUAUGUCUGUGAUGUACAUUUACUUAAGUGACUCUUAAUGUAUAGUAAAUCUAGUCGUGAUCUCACACUAUUUUAUGUUAUAAUAGGCAAUAUGUGAAAUUGUUAAUGUAUAAUUAGGUUAAGCUGUCACAUCGGUAGCAGUAAGCUUAUUUAAACAACUUGAAUAAACUAAAUAAAUAAACAAAGACUGUUGUUAUGAAU